rnacentral:rRNA from 1 species
GCAAGUCGAGCGGACCGACGGGAGCUUGCUCCCUUAGGUCAGCGGCGGACGGGUGAGUAACACGUGGGUAACCUGCCUGUAAGACUGGGAUAACUCCGGGAAACCGGGGCUAAUACCGGAUGCUUGAUUGAACCGCAUGGUUCAAUCAUAAAAGGCGGCUUCGGCUGCCGUUUACAGAUGGACCCGCGGCGCAUUAGCUAGUUGGUGAGGUAACGGCUCACCAAGGCGACGAUGCGUAGCCGACCUGAGAGGGUGAUCGGCCACACUGGGACUGAGACACGGCCCAGACUCCUACGGGAGGCAGCAGUAGGGAAUCUUCCGCAAUGGACGAAAGUCUGACGGAGCAACGCCGCGUGAGUGAUGAAGGUUUUCGGAUCGUAAAGCUCUGUUGUUAGGGAAGAACAAGUACCGUUCGAAUAGGGCGGUACCUUGACGGUACCUAACCAGAAAGCCACGGCUAACUACGUGCCAGCAGCCGCGGUAAUACGUAGGUGGCAAGCGUUGUCCGGAAUUAUUGGGCGUAAAGCGCGCGCAGGCGGUUUCUUAAGUCUGAUGUGAAAGCCCCCGGCUCAACCGGGGAGGGUCAUUGGAAACUGGGGAACUUGAGUGCAGAAGAGGAGAGUGGAAUUCCACGUGUAGCGGUGAAAUGCGUAGAGAUGU